GACGAACGCUGGCGGCGUGCUUAACACAUGCCAGUCGAACGGUGAAGCGCCUUCCUUUUUGGUGGGUGUGGAUGAGUGGCGAACGGGUGAGUAACACGUGAGUAACCUGCCCCCUUCUUCUGGAUAACCGCAUGAAAGUGUGGCUAAUACGGGAUAUUCUGGGUCUGUCGCAUGAUGGGUCUGGGAAAGAUAUUGUUUCGGUGGGGGAUGGGCUCGCGGCCUAUCAGCUUGUUGGUGGGGUGAUGGCCUACCAAGGCGGUGACGGGUAGCCGGCCUGAGAGGGUGGACGGUCACACUGGGACUGAGACACGGCCCAGACUCCUACGGGAGGCAGCAGUGGGGAAUAUUGCACAAUGGGCGCAAGCCUGAUGCGGCGACGCCGCGUGAGGGAUGGAGGCCUUCGGGUUGUGAACCUCUUUCGCCAGUGAAGCAGGCCUGCCUCGUUUGUGGGUGGGUUGACGGUAGCUGGAUAAGAAGCGCCGGCUAACUACGUG
rnacentral:rRNA from 1 species